rnacentral:misc_RNA from 1 species
GAUGAAGAACGUAGCGAAAUGCGAUAAGUAAUGUGAAUUGCAGAAUUCAGUUAAUCAUCGAAUCUUUGAACGCACAUUGCGCCCGCCAGCAUUCUGGCGGGCAUGCCUGUUCGAGCGUCAUUUCAACCCUCGACCCCCCCCGGGGGCCUCGGUGUUGGGGGACGGCACACCAGCCGCCCCCGAAAUGCAGUGGCGACCCCGCCGCAGCCUCCCCUGCGUAGUAGCACACACCUCGCACCGGAGCGCGGAGGCGGUCACGCCGUAAAACGCCCAACUUUCUUAGAGUUGACCUCGGAUCAGGUAGGAAUACCCGCUGAACUUAAGCAUAUCAAUAAGCGGAGGA